rfam:Cicer arietinum chromosome Ca5, whole genome shotgun sequence.
AGUCUAUGAUGAAAAUUCAUCUGUGCUGGAGCGAGUCAUCUUUUGUUCUCGUCGAUGAUGGCGCAAUCCUCUAAGAAGUUCUGAGCUC